GAUGAAGAACGCAGCGAAAUGCGAUAAGUAAUGUGAAUUGCAGAAUUCAGUGAAUCAUCGAAUCUUUGAACGCACAUUGCGCCCCCUGGCAUUCCGGGGGGCAUGCCUGUUCGAGCGUCAUUGCUGCCCUCAAGCACGGCUUGUGUGUUGGGCCUCCGUCCUCCUCCCGGGGGACGGGCCCGAAAGGCAGCGGCGGCACCGCGUCCGGUCCUCGAGCGUAUGGGGCUUCGUCACCCGCUCUUGUAGGCCCGGCCGGCGCUUGCCGACACAUCAAUCUUUUUUCCAGGUUGACCUCGGAUCAGGUAGGGAUACCCGCUGAACUUAAGCAUAUCAAUAAGCGGAGGA
rnacentral:misc_RNA from 1 species